rnacentral:rasiRNA from 1 species
ACCCUUGAUAAACGUUUGACUUUCGA